UCCCUGGUAGUAUAUCGGUUAGUACACGCGCCUGUCAUUAUAAAUUGUGCGCGCGAAAGCUGGGUUCGACUCCCAGCCAGGGAG